GGGGGCGACUGGAUUCGACAUGAUAGCUUUACGAGAGGAAGCAUGUGGUGGUCGCCUCGCCACCUUAAACAGGGGUACUGUCAAAUUAAUUGACAAUAACCGUUAUGCCCUCGCCGCCUGAUAGUGUGGCGACGUCAACUCGGGAUACUUCCCCGCUCCCGACGCGACGACACUUUGGGGAAUGCUCCUGCGAACGUAGCUGGUAUAGCGCAGGAAAAGACCGAACCAACUAGCAAAGAGCGUGCUUGUCUGCUGAUACGUUUCGCGCGAACCCUUCCAACAGACUGAACAUGGAGAAGCUCUCAAGGAGUUAGCAUGGACCGGAGUUCGAUUCUCCGCGCCUCCACCA
rnacentral:tmRNA from 1 species